AUGCAGCUGAUGAACCCCAAAUAGGACGAAAUGUGCAUCCUGGAU
rnacentral:hammerhead_ribozyme from 1 species